ensembl:lncRNA
CCCCAGAGAAUAGUUCACACUCCCUUGCUUCCUCUUACAGUGGAGAAGACAAAAGAUUAACUCUUCCUGUGUGAACGCCUGCUUCCAACUUCCUGAGAUACCUUAUGUUAGCGGCAUGAAUGUGUGAGACAUUGAGGCAUGCUAAAAUCCCGUGGCACCAAAGUAUUGUACAAUAAAAUAAUCUGAAUAAUACAUAAAUAUAAAUAAAAGAUAUUCCUUUACACAGUAUAGGUACAUAAUACUCCACAGGCCGUAACACUGUAAUAUAAAUAAAAUGAUAAAUGAUCACUUUAAAUGAUAAAAAUGAUAAUCACAUAAUAAGAAAAAGCAAAGUGAAAAAUAAAUGUUAUCCACAUUAACUAAAUUAAAAAUGAUGUUUAUCUUUUGAUAAUGUAACACAGCCUUUGUCCCAACCAGGACUGAACCUGCGCUCAGACGGUGCGAUUUGAUUGGCUGAUUCUCCGUUACACCCAUACGCGAUGGGCCCUUAUCAGAUGAAAGUACAAAACUAUCAAGAACCCCCCUCCUUGCACUGGUUGCAUAAAUUUCAGGUGGCAUUUUUAAAAACAUGCCAUGACAUAACACACAGCUGCUAUAAUCGCAAAGAGGGGUCAAAUGUCAAUUAUCGUUAUAGGUUCUUGCUAUAUGUUAUGUCGUAAGGGCCUAAGUUCCCUUACGACAGCUAGAGCUGGAAACAAGACCUCAAGCAAUCCUAAGGCUAAUUAGCACGGCUAGCAUUUUAAAAAACAUUUGUUAAAUGUCAUUGCUAGCAUAUAGCUGUAUUACAGCAUGGUAAGUAGCGAGAAGGCUAAGUUUUUGUUACCUUUGAAAAGAAAAAUGUGAAGACGUAAUAUUAGCAUAUGCUAAUGUUAUUCACUCAAGCAAACAUCUCAGCAAAGCUUGAAGAUGGCUCGUCGUGGACCCCGACUCGUCGACAGUCACCUGGCUGUCUUGACUACAUUGUUGAACGUCCCGAGAACGAGGCCUUGAUGACACUCUCCUGAGCGCCAUCUCUUCUGAUGAAGCAUGGGACACUGAAACCGAGCGCGUCAAUAAAGGCUGUCUUGACUACAUUGUUGAACGUCCCGAGAACGAGGCCUUUCUGAAGUCAUGAGGAUCCUUGAUGACACUCUCCUGAGCGCCAUCUCUUCUGAUGAAGCAUGGGACACUGAAACCGAGCGUGUCAGUAAAGGUGAGUACAUCGCCCUCUCCCCCUCCCCCUCUUCUCAUGAAGAACUGGAUGCUGAUGUGUGUCAGUGAAGUGGAAGGUGAGUACCCCCACCUCC